rnacentral:lncRNA from 1 species
GCUCCCCGACUUCUGCUGCUCCGUGUGCCUUCCAGGCCUGGUUCUAAUUAUCUGGAUUAUCCCACCUACUGUCUGGGAGCUCAAGCAUGGCUCGUCUGAAGAAAACCUCAGAGAACAACAACAGUCAAACCUGACUCAUUUUCCCCAGAAAGGGGAGAGAUGGAAGUAGGACGUGAGAAAUGCAUGACCUAAGGCCAACAUCAUCUGCUGGGAGGAAUAGGUAAGCUGGUGGGGC